AACGAACGCUGGCGGCAUGCCUAACACAUGCAAGUCGAACGAGACCUUCGGGUCUAGUGGCGCACGGGUGCGUAACGCGUGGGAACCUGCCCUUAGGUUCGGAAUAACUCAGAGAAAUUUGAGCUAAUACCGGAUAAUGUCUUCGGACCAAAGAUUUAUCGCCUUUGGAUGGGCCCGCGUAGGAUUAGCUUGUUGGUGGGGUAAUGGCCUACCAAGGCGACGAUCCUUAGCUGGUCUGAGAGGAUGAUCAGCCACACUGGGACUGAGACACGGCCCAGACUCCUACGGGAGGCAGCAGUGGGGAAUAUUGGACAAUGGGCGAAAGCCUGAUCCAGCAAUGCCGCGUGAGUGAUGAAGGCCUUAGGGUUGUAAAGCUCUUUUACCAGGGAUGAUAAUGACAGUACCUGGAGAAUAAGCUCCGGCUAACUCCGUGCCAGCAGCCGC
rnacentral:rRNA from 1 species